rnacentral:misc_RNA from 1 species
GGAGGGAUCAUUAACAACAAAGUGUCCCUUACUGUCUUGUGCUUAGACUCAGCUCGUGUUGUCUAGGCACAAGCAGUAAAUUCCCGACCCACUAGCGACAGAGCUAAUUGACUAAGAGCUGCCAGGUUGGACUUGACAGUGGUCAUCUUAGUAGUUACUCUGUCACUAGAGGGAGUUAAAGUGAAUUGUUCAAGUUAAGCGGAACACAGGUGUCACAGUCACCAGUAUGAACCUAUCUACACAGUCUCCUUGGCAAGCAAGUGGCUGUGUAGCUAGCUAGUACUAGUGAUUGUAGUAGAAUACAUUGUGUAUUAUACAAGUGCCCUACGACACUGCACAGUCUCCUUGGCAAGCAAGUGGUUGUGUAGCUAGUAGAACAUGAGUAUAGUACACCAUGUACCUGCUACCUGCCUAAGCAGUCUCCUUGGCAAGCAAGUGGUUGUUCAGGUAGUUGACACAGGUGGAUGGAAUAAAAAAUACACCAAGUGUCUCUGCUGCUACUAUAUACUGCUUACUCGUAUCUACAUAGUCUCCUUGGCAAGCAAGUGGUUAUGUAGGUACUAGUACCAGUAGCUAGUAGUAUGCAGUAGCCACUUGAUUGUAUAGUUGUACAUAAUGCCUUCUUUGUAUUGAACACAUUGACCAAAGUGCUCGUGCUCCCCUACGACACUACACAGCCUCCUUGGCAAGCAAGUGGUUAUGUAGCUAGUAGUAGUACUAGCCUCCUUUGACUCAAUGGACUAAAAUACAACCUUUGCAUAACUGAUAGAGAUGGAUAUCUUGGCUCAGAUCACGAUGAAGAGCGUAGCAAGCCACGUUAACUAACGAGACAUGCAAAAUACGUGAUUCGUCAAAUUCUUGAAUGCAUACUGCACCUGCAGGCCUAGCCUGACAGGUUCACUUGCAUCAGUAUCGAUUCCAAUCAUCUGUCCCUCUUCGUGAGGGGAUUCGUCGUUGCAUUGAGCAAUCAAUGCUCUGAUUAGAAACAGCUUACCAGUCCCUCAAGCCUCCAAUAGGGUGAGGUAGUGUCAAUUGAGCUUGUGUAAGGUUAAGGAGAUGUUCCUAGUAACCAAUACUUGAGCUACUUAAUGACCAAUUUGGCUAGAGACAAGUCGUAUCUUACCUCUCUAGUCCAGUUGGUCCUCUUAAGCAGUCUUCAAGCACUGUCUUACUAUACAUCUCACAUACUUAACUCUUGCAUUAAGCAAGCUCAUAUUGCUCCACUACCAACUAACCCCUACUGUGCUAAGGUGCCUGGCUUAAGCCAAUAGAGCAACUGUCAAGAACAGUACUUGUUAGUUACCUUGCUGCUUUACUUGUAAACAGCAAGCUCUAACUACCAAGUGCUGGUUUCUUCAGUACCCUUCUCUUGGAAAUUAACUUCGAUCUGAUGUCAAGUGAGACUACCCGCUGAAUUUAAGCAUAUAAUUAAGCGGAGGAAAAGAAACUAACUAGGAUUCCCUUAGUACCGGCGAGGGAAGAGGGAACAGCCCAGGCCGAAUCUGUAGUGGUUCGCCACUACCGAAAUGUAGCCUUCUGAUCAGCAUCACAGGGGUGAGCAGUAGGUAUAAAUCCCUUGGAACAGGGUACCAUAGAGGGUGAUAGUCCCGUUCUACCUACUUGUGUUACUUCAAUAUGUGUUGCUGCUUCCUAGAGUCGUGUUGUUUGAGAGUACAGCACAAAAUGGGUGGUAAGUACCAUCUAAGGCUAAAUACUGAUCUGAGACCGAUAGCGAACAAGUACCGUGAGGGAAAGAUGCAAAGAACUCUGAAAAGAGAGUUAAAAGGACUUGAAAUCUCUAUCAGGGAAGCGAUAGUCAGCUGCAGUUGACUGUUGUCCAUUCACCUUGGCACUUGUGCUGGUUAGUGGCACUGCUGAGCAGGAGUAUUCUUGCCACAGUGUUGCUAGCUUCAGUACAAGUUGCCGAGGGCAUUUGGGCAGCAGCCACUCAGCAUCAGUUAGGUUAGCUACUAAAGAACCCGAGAAAGGUAGCCUGGUUUCGACUAGGUGUUAUAGUCUCGGGAGUUCGGCAGCUAACUUGACUGAGGAUCUCCAGCAGUGGCCUUUGGCUGGGAACAGUGGCUCUGGUCAUUGUAGACGGUUACUACUGCUUGCAGUAGUGGUUGAUCUAUGGUGGCCAUCUGCUACCAUCCACAGCACUGCUAGUGAUGCUGAGAUACGGAUGAUUAUCGACCCGUCUUGAAACACGGACCAAGGAGUCUUACGCGUUUGCGAGUCUUAGAGUGAGGAAAACUCUUAGGGCGCAAUGAAAGUGAGAGGUGGGAAGGGUAGUGCAGCUUGACUAUCCCGCACCAUCCGCCGAUCCAAGGACAUGCUCUAAGGAUUUGAGUAAAGAGCAUACUCGUAAGGACCCGAAAGAUGGCGAACUAUGCGUGCAUAGGGUGAAGCCAGAAGAAAUUCUGGUGGAGGCUCGUAGCGAUACUGACGUGCAAAUCGUUCGUCAAAUGUGCGUAUAGCGGCGAAAGACUAAUCGAGCCGUCUAGUAGCUGGUUCCCUC